rnacentral:rRNA from 1 species
AGUAAUGUCUGGGAAACUGCCUGAUGGAGGGGGAUAACUACUGGAAACGGUAGCUAAUACCGCAUAACGUCGCAAGACCAAAGUGGGGGACCUUCGGGCCUCAUGCCAUCAGAUGUGCCCAGAUGGGAUUAGCUAGUAGGUGGGGUAACGGCUCACCUAGGCGACGAUCCCUAGCUGGUCUGAGAGGAUGACCAGCCACACUGGAACUGAGACACGGCCAG